GGGGGCACCACUCAGCAUCGCGGCACGCCAGGUAUCCGCACACCUGGAUCCCACCUGACUCAGAGGCAGGAGCCGAUCUGAGCAUGGCCAGGGCUAAUGAGAUAAUGGCCACUGGCCCUGCACAGCGCUGGGCCGGCGCUAAUUGCGGCUGAUUAAUCCGGCAGAGAGUGCCAGAAACAAAACACACACACACACGGCAGCAGCCUCAGUGCUCAGCUAUUAAUUCCCGGGACGUGCCUCAUUCCCAGCAGAGCUCGGCCACGUAUAAAAGCUUUCAGCCCCAGCUUUGUCCCCAGGACUCCGAAUCCCUGCUCAGCCCGGCCCGUUUCUGCUCGCAGGGUGAGUUGGAUUCUCUCACAUUCCUCAGGUUUUUUUUUUUUCUUGGAAAUGGCAAAAAGGGGGGGGGGGGGGGGGGGGGGGGGGGGGGGGGGGGGAAAAAAAAAAAAAAAAAAAAAAAAAAAAAAAAAAAAGGAGUCAGUGUUUUGUUUUCUUUUUCCCAGGCUGUUUAUGCUCAAGGGCUUGGUCACGCUCGAAGGAUUUGUGAGUCAUGGGAGAAGCAGCUCCCGAGGGAAUUGGGGGGGCUCAGCCUGGGGAAAAGGAGGCUCAGUGGGAAUUUCGGGCUCUGCACAGGAGGGGCAGUGAGGGGGGGUCGGGCUCUGCUCCCAGGGAACAGGGACAGGAGGAGACGAGCUGUGCCAGGGCAGGGUCAGGUUGGAAUCCGAAGGAAUUUCCUCCUGGAAAAGGUGGUCAGGGAUUGGAGCUGCCCAGGGAGGUUUGGAGUGCCCAUCCCUGGAGGUGUCCGAGGAAUUCCUGGAGGUGGCACUCAGAGCUGGGCGAUGUUGAUCCAGCACAGAUGACCCCGGAAUCCUUUCCCACCCUCAAUAACUCCCCCGGUUCUGUGAUCUCUGGCCCAGGAUGCUCUACCAGAAAGGCGGCACCGACCACGAGCCGUGCCAGCACUCCUCGGGCUGCGGCCACAAGGGCUGGACAUGGCCCAGCUCCACCGGGCACUGCCACGACCCCGCCAACAUCUGCCACAACCCCGGCAGCCUCAGCCACGACAUCGAGGGCUCCUGCCAGAGCCCGCCCCAGGGCCAGCUCUGCCCGCCCCAGCCCGGCUCCUGCCCAGCCCCGCAGAGCUGCAAGCCCCGGCGGAGGGUGGAGCCAGCGCUGCCCGCGGGCCGUGCCCCGCUGCUGCCCGCCCGCUGUCCCGCUGCCACCACACCCCUGCCGCCAGCACCAGCACCAGCAGAAAGUCACCCUGGUGCCGCUCUGCGUGAAGAACUGAACCCCUGAGACCCCUCCCCGGCUCGCGGAGGAUUCGCCCCCCGGCUCAAAGGAUGCUCCCACCUCCGCCCUGCGCUCCUCGCUGCUCCUUGCACAUCAAAUUUGGGGUCGGGCCAUCCCCGGCUUGGCCCUGGCACCGACACUUUAGGAAUUUAAACCUGCAGGGUUUUGCUUUUCCCUGGGGAGCAGCAGAUUGGUGUUUCCCAUCCGGAGGGGCGCUCGGAUUUCCGCGGAUUUCCUUUCUCACCGAGCUCUGGUUUCGAGGGUGUUUGAAAGCAGCCCCGGGACUUUAGGAGGAAAAAAGGAACCGCUGUGACGGCAGGAGCAUCGCGGACUCCUGCGAUUUUAUCUCCCCACCGGGUAUUCAAGAAUAAAGCUGAAAAACAUUUAAAAAUUUGGUUCCUCUCUUUCUUGCCCCCACAAGCAUCA
rnacentral:lncRNA from 12 species